rnacentral:rRNA from 1 species
UGGGGAAUAUUGCACAAUGGGGGAAACCCUGAUGCAGCCAUGCCGCGUGUGUGAAGAAGGCCUUCGGGUUGUAAAGCACUUUCAGUUGUGAGGAAAAGUUAGUAGUUAAUACCUGCUAGCCGUGACGUUAACAACAGAAGAAGCACCGGCUAACUCCGUGCCAGCAGCCGCGGUAAUACGGAGGGUGCGAGCGUUAAUCGGAAUUACUGGGCGUAAAGCGCACGCAGGCGGUUUGUUAAGCUAGAUGUGAAAGCCCCGGGCUCAACCUGGGAUAGUCAUUUAGAACUGGCAGACUAGAGUCUUGGAGAGGGGAGUGGAAUUCCAGGUGUAGCGGUGAAAUGCGUAGAUAUCUGGAGGAACAUCAGUGGCGAAGGCGACUCCCUGGCCAAAGACUGACGCUCAUGUGCGAAAGUGUGGGUAGCGAACAGGAUUAGAUACCCUGGUAGUCCACACCGUAAACGCUGUCUACUAGCUGUUUGUGACUUUAAGUCGUGAGUAGCGAAGCUAACGCGCUAAGUAGACCGCCUGGGGAGUACGGCGCAAGGUA